AUGAAGAAGAAGGGUGUUAGUAUUGUUGCAUUGUGGGAAAGAGCUUCCAAGGCAAAUAAAAGAACUUCGACAUCUACACCAAAUCCUCCUGAUGUUAAAGUUGAGAACAGUAGUAUCAUUCCUCCUACUAUUGAGAGCAAUCUGCAACUGGCACUUGUGCAAGCACAUGAACCUGAUGAUGGCCACCCAGAACCUGAGAGUGCAGCUGGCUCCCCAACCCUAAUUGUAGAAGAUGAUGAAGCAAAUGAUGAAGUUCAGUUUGAAGUAGAUUUGGAAGCACUUGAGUCUGAUCUUGGGAAACGGAUCCCCAUCUCUAGGUACAAUGUCAAUGACCAGGAUAAAGUUAGAAGGAGAUACAUCGAGUUGGGGGCAUGUCAACCAAAGAAUCAUAAUUUUGAGUAUAGAGAUAUAAGUGGAUUACAGCAUCGCUUUUCUCCUUCUUGGUUUAAGGAUUACAAGUGGCUUGAGUAUAGUGUGGACAAAGAAGCCGCUUUCUGCUUCGUUUGCUAUUUGUUCAAGGAUAAAACAAGAUGUCCCGGUGAAGAUGCUUUUGUGAAGAAGGGAUUUAACAUAUUGUAA
rnacentral:rRNA from 1 species